rnacentral:rRNA from 1 species
GACGAACGCUGGCGGCGUGCCUAACACAUGCAAGUCGUACGAAUGGUGAAGGGCUUGCUCUUCACCGUUAGUGGCGAACGGGUGCGUAACACGUGAGCAACCUGCCUUCCGGUCGGGGGAUAGCCGGCCUAACGGCCCGGGUAAUACCGCGUACGACUCCGGGCUCGCAUGGGUCUGGAGUGAAAGCGGGCGCAAGCUCGCGCCGGAAGAGGGGCUCGCGGCCUAUCAGCUUGUUGGUGAGGUAACGGCUCACCAAGGCGACGACGGGUAGCUGGUCUGAGAGGAUGAUCAGCCACAUUGGGACUGAGAUACGGCCCAGACUCCUACGGGAGGCAGCAGUGGGGAAUAUUGCGCAAUGGCCGCAAGGCUGACGCAGCGACGCCGUGUGUGGGAUGAAGGCCUUCGGGUUGUAAACCACUGUCAGGGGGGACGAAUACCCGGCCUCGAAUAGGGGACCGGGGGCGACGGUACCCCCAGAGGAAGCACCGGCUAACUCCGUG